rnacentral:rRNA from 1 species
GACGGAGGUGGCAAGCGUUGCUCGGAAUCACUGGGCAUAAAGGGCGUCUAGGCGGGUCAGUAAGUCGGCUGUGAAAUCCCUCGGCUUAACCGAGGAAGUGCAUCCGAUACUGCUGGUCUUGAGGGCAAGAGGGGAGAGUGGAACUCCUGGUGGAGCGGUGAAAUGCGUAGAUAUCAGGAGGAACGCCGGUGGCGAAAGCGACUCUCUGGCUUGUACCUGACGCUGAAGCGCGAAAGCUAGGGGAGCGAACGGG